GAGGAUAUAGCUCAAGUGGUAGAGCAUGUGCUUAGCAUGCAUGAGGUCCUGGGUUCAAUCCCUAGUACCACCU
rnacentral:tRNA from 1 species